rnacentral:lncRNA from 1 species
UGUUAAAUGAGAAAAUAUUGAUAACAUUUCUUAAAUACUUAAUAUGUGUCAGAUACUGUUAGGAGUGCUUUGCUUAGUGUUUUUGUUGAAUCCUUGCUAUAACCCAGUGGGGUAGGUCUUCUUGAUAUAGGUUUACCUGUAAGAAAAUGGAGGCACCAUAAGGUUACAUAACUUGCUCAGGGUCACUCAGCUAACUAUUGGCAGAGCAGGGAUUUGAACCUGGGAGGUCUGGUUCCAGAGCCUACAGUCGUUAACUGCUGUCCUAUAUUAUCCCUGAAAUACAUGUAAAUUCCUUCUUCAUACCCUCUUCCUACUUGCAUUCUCCUCCCUGGUGGUAACUUUUUGAACCAUGGCCAAUACCACACUAUUGCAUCAGUGUGUAAUUUUAAUUUGAUCACUUUGGGUAGUUUUCCUUCAGAAACUGGAAAGCAGUCAGUGAGAUUCUACUCUUUACUGGCUAUAGUUAUGAAGGAGAAAGGGGGACAGGUGGAAGCAUACAGAGCCUAGCAAGAUGGUAACUGCUGAUGUUUGUCUUACUUUCCCCCCAACUGUUUUUUUAAAUGGAAUGUUGAAUCCAUCUGGAAUGUUGACAGGUCACAGAGGAGUUACUGAAGUCAGUAGUUCAAAGUACUAUUGAACGAUCAAAAUUUUUGCCUUUGCUUGACUACCUUGAAGUGUCGGGUGUAUUGGAGCUUCAGGUGUCAUUGAUCUGUCCAGAAAGAAAAGACUUUGUGGGAGUUUGUCCUCGGUCUUUAGUAACUGGAAUUUUAACAAACCAGUGAACAAAGGGACAUAGUGCCUUUUUUCCCAGAACCCCUAUUGGAUGACAGUGACUCACCAUUUAUUAUGAAUUUACUACAUGCCAGGCACUUUAUGUAGAGCAUCUAAUUUAACCCUGAGAACACCGCAAUGUUCUCCCUUCUUGGAUCCUCAAGAUGCCAACAGCAUUCCUAGGAGUCAGGUGUGUGGUGCUCAGAGACAGAAGAAGUGCCUUCUCUACCUUGUGGCUCUUUUUUAGAGGGAGGAAGCUUCCCAGAAGACUGUUUCUGCAGGUAGUCUUGGCAGGGGGCAGGAGACAGCCAGUCAGGCCUUAGACCAGUAGAUCAUUGCCUUGUGGCCUGGCCUGGAGGCCUGCAUGUGGAGGAGAGAGUGAAGCCCAGCAAAACUUAAGUUUUGUUAGAACAAGAGAGGGUGGAGGAAAUACGUGCUGUGAAUGUAAUCUGAUCUUGCCGAGGCUUGAGCUAGCAGAGGGCUACAGUUCAUAUCUUUUGCGUAUGUGAGUUUAAUUUAAAACAGAUGGGAGCUUAUAUCUUUACAGUAAUAGUUCUCUCUCUUUUAUAGAUUCUUUAUCCCUUUUAAGAAAAAGCAAACAAGCCAUAGAGUGUGUUAUUAAGGUAACUAGGGUGG